AUUGAACGCUGGCGGCAGGCCUAACACAUGCAAGUCGAGCGGAGCGGCGGACGGGUGAGUAAUGGCUAGGAAUCUGCCUGGUCGUGGGGGAUAACGUCAGGAAACGGGAGCUAAUACCGAAUCCUAUCAGCUGAGGCUAGGCCGGAUUAGCUAGUUGGUGGGGUAAGGGCCUACCAAGGCGACGAACCGUAACUGGACUGAGAGGAUGAUCAGGCACACUGGAACUGAGACACGGUCCAGACUCCUACGGGAGUCAGCAGUGGGGAAUAUUGGACAAUUGGCGAAAGCCUGAUCCAGCCAUGCCGCGUGUGUGAAGAAGGUCUUCGGAUUGUAAAGCACUUUAAGUUGGGAGGCGUUACCAACAGAAUAAGCACCGGCUAACUUCGUGCCAGCCGCCGCGGUAAUAC
rnacentral:rRNA from 1 species